GGGGAAUAUUGCACAAUGGGCGAAAGCCUGAUGCAGCAACGCCGCGUGAGUGAUGAAGGUUUUCGGAUCGUAAAGCUCUGUUGCCAGGGAAGAACGUCUUAGAGAGUAACUGCUCUAAGAGUGACGGUACCUGAGAAGAAAGCCCCGGCUAACUACGUGCCAGCAGCCGCGGUAAUACGUAGGGGGCGAGCGUUGUCCGGAAUUAUUGGGCGUAAAGCGCGCGCAGGCGGCUGUUUAAGUCUGGUGUUUAAUCCUGGGGCUCAACCCCGGGUCGCACUGGAAACUGGACGGCUUGAGUGCAGAAGAGGAGAGUGGAAUUCCACGUGUAGCGGUGAAAUGCGUAGAGAUGUGGAGGAACACCAGUGGCGAAGGCGACUCUCUGGGCUGUAACUGACGCUGAGGCGCGAAAGCGUGGGGAGCAAAC
rnacentral:rRNA from 1 species